rnacentral:misc_RNA from 1 species
AUGAGAAACUGCCCCUCGCGGGUAGAUCUCCCACCCUUUGUAAACUUACCUUUGUUGCUUUGGCAGGCCCGUCUCCGGACCGCCGGCUUCGGCUGGCCAGCGCCUGCCAGAGGAUUCUAAACUCUGUCUGUCAGUGUUGUCUGAGUCUAUAUACAAUCGUUA